UUAUGGAGUUUGACUUAAAUUUGAUAAUAUUAUUAACGAUAGUUUCACUAUCGUUUUGCAUAAACAAUACGCAAUCUUCAUGAAAGAUUUCAGUUCAUCGUUCACCAUCCGGUCUUCAUAUAAUGAACUGAUUUAGACAAUACCAAUGUAAAGUUACGAUUGAUCGUUGAUCGUACCCGAUCGUAUAAACUUUACGAUCAAUGAACUCCGUUAGACAAUUAGGCCCCUGAUCGUUAUUUUUAUACGAAGAGUGAAUGAUUUGUUAAGAUUUGACAGUUAUUUGCGAUUGUCUUCGAAUUGUGUAAAGUUUUAUGGUCAUGGCUUAUGUCAAAAACUUACGAUGGGUCUUGAGUCACCUUUGAUCGUAAAACGGACGAAUUGUGGAUGCCCAAAAUUCCAAAAUAAUAAUUUAUAUUUUGUUAAAUAUCUAAAAUUAAUAUUUUUUUCCAUUCUAAAUCUCUCAAUUCAGUCUCCCCGUCUACAGUUAGCAUUUUUAGGACGAAACUUUGCGAAGUGUUUUGUUUGUAAACAAUGAACUCUGUUAAAAAGAGUAAUAAAUAAUAUAUUCUUUGCAAUGAACCUAUAAAGUCAAAACAAUGAAGUUAAUUGAGUGCUAUUAAUCGAUUUAUAUAGGAUGCUGAGAAUUGGACUCUGAGAGAAAGAUAUUUGGAAUAUGCCCUAUAACUGCAGACUCCAAUAUUACAAAAAGCACCUGCAAUACAAUAGAAUAACAUAUUGGUGUGCUGAAGAAAAGAUGGCAAAGGCUUUUAGCUGAUAGGACAUUGUACUGAUGACCCUGUUAUCUGGUCAAAUCAUAAAUGUGUGUGUAUUAUCAAAAUA